rnacentral:rRNA from 1 species
CAGCCGCCACGGGAAUACGUAGGUGGCAAGCGUUGUCCGGAAUUAUUGGGCGUAAAGGGCUCGCAGGCGGUUUCUUAAGUCUGAUGUGAAAGCCCCCGGCCCAACCGGGGAGGGUCAUUGGAAACUGGGAAGCUUGAGUGCAGAAGAGGAGAGUGGAAUUCCACGUGUAGCGGUGAAAUGCGUAGAGAUGUGGAGGAUCACCAGUGGCGAAGGCGACUCUCUGGUCUGUAACUGACGCUGAGGAGCGAAAGCGUGGGGAGCGAACAGGAUUAGAUACCCCUGUAGUCCCUGUCUCUUAUAC